AUCCAUCUGACGAGUCCCAAAUAGGACGAAACAUGCGUCCUGGAU
rfam:Schistosoma rodhaini strain Burundi genome assembly, scaffold: SROB_scaffold0004397